rnacentral:rRNA from 1 species
GAUGAACGCUGGCGGCGUGCUUAAUACAUGCAAGUCGAGCGAAAGGACGAGAAGCUUGCUUCUCUGUUGUUAGCGGCGGACGUGUGAGUAACACGUGUAAACUCCCCCUAUCUUACUGGGAAAAUUUCGGGAAACCGGAGCUUACACCGGAUAAUCUCCUGAUCCGCAUGGUUCAUAAGUGAAUGUCGGUGUUGCUGUCACUUCUAGCUGGUUCCGAGCUGCAUGGGCUAGUUGGGAAGGUAACGGCUUACCAAGGCAACGCUGCAUAGCCGACCUGAUUGGGUGAUCGGCCACACUGGAGCUGAGACACGGACCAGACGCCUGCGGUAGGCAGCAGUAGGGAAUCUGCGGCAAUGGGCGAGAGUCUGACGGAGCGGCGGCGCGUGAGUGGUGGAAAUCUUCGGAGCGUAAAGCUGUGUUAUGAGUGAAGAACAGAUUUGUAAGUAGCUGUGCACAGCGUGACGGUAACUAGUCAGAAAGCAACGGCUAACUACGUG